GUGAAUCAUCGAAUCUUUGAACGCAAAUUGCACUCUCUGGUAUUCCGGAAAGUAUGCCUGUUUGAGGGUCAGUUAAAUUAAAAUCGGUUUUGUUGCUGCCUUUCGUGGUUACGCGUCGGAAUUUGGUUGUCUUUGCUUUGGUUAAGUGACUUAAAAUUUUUGCAUGAUUUUCGUACGUAGUUUAAUCGUUUAUGUACGUUUGAGAUAUCGAAUGCUUA
rnacentral:misc_RNA from 1 species